GGAGGUUUAGCUCAGUUGGGAGAGCACUUGCCUUACAAGCAAGGGGUCACUGGUUCGAGCCCAGUAAUCUCCACCA
rnacentral:tRNA from 1 species